rnacentral:ncRNA from 2 species
CAAUUGGUAUAUCCUAAGAGGGAAUCCGGUGUGAGUCCGGGACAGUCCCCACUGCUGUAAUCCUUUCUCUUCGGAGAAGUUUGUUGCCAUCUCCAGCCACUGGAACGCUCUAUUUCAGACGUUACGGGAAGGCGGUAACAAGAGGAAAGUCAGAAGACCUGCCCUGAUAACAUGUUCGAA